UGGGGAAUAUUGGACAAUGGGCGAAAGCCUGAUCCAGCCAUGCCGCGUGUGUGAAGAAGGUCUUCGGAUUGUAAAGCACUUUAAGUUGGGAGGAAGGGCAGUAAGCGAAUACCUUGCUGUUUUGACGUUACCGACAGAAUAAGCACCGGCUAACUCUGUGCCAGCAGCCGCGGUAAUACAGAGGGUGCAAGCGUUAAUCGGAAUUACUGGGCGUAAAGCGCGCGUAGGUGGUUCGUUAAGUUGAAUGUGAAAGCCCCGGGCUCAACCUGGGAACUGCAUCCAAAACUGGCGAGCUAGAGUACGGCAGAGGGUGGUGGAAUUUCCUGUGUAGCGGUGAAAUGCGUAGAUAUAGGAAGGAACACCAGUGGCGAAGGCGACCACCUGGGCUCAUACUGACACUGAGGUGCGAAAGCGUGGGGAGCAAACAGG
rnacentral:rRNA from 1 species